rnacentral:rRNA from 1 species
UACGGAAGGCAGCAGUGGGGAAUAUUGCACAAUGGGCGAAAGCCUGAUGCAGCUAUGCCGCGUGUAUGAAGAAGGCCUUAGGGUUGUAAAGUACUUUCAUCGGGGAGGAAAAAACAAAACUAAUAAUUUUAUUUCUUGACGUUACCCGAAAAAGAAGCACCGGCUAACUCCGUGCCAGCAGCCGCGGUAAUACGGAGGGUGCUAGCGUUAAUCAGAAUUACUGGGCGUAAAGAGCACGUAGGUGGUUUUUUUAAGUCAGAUGUGAAAUCCCUGGGCUUAACCUAGGAACUGCAUUUUGAAACUGAAAUACUAGAGUAUCGUAGAGGGAGGUAGAAUUCUAGGUGUAGCGGUGAAAUGCGUAGAUAUCUGGAGGAAUACCUGUGGCGAAAGCGGCCUCCUAAACGAAUACUGACACUGAGGUGCGAAAGCGUGGGGAGCAAACAGGGAUUUAGAUACC